rnacentral:rRNA from 1 species
AGACUCUCGGCAACGGAUAUCUCGGCUCUUGCAUCGAUGAAGAACGUAGCGAAAUGCGAUACUUGGUGUGAAUUGCAGAAUCCCGUGAACCAUCGAGUCUUUGAACGCAAGUUGCGCCCGAAGCCAUUAGGCCGAGGGCACGCCUGCCUGGGUGUUGCAC